CCGACGGUGAGGGGUGAAAGCUGGGGGAGCAAACCGGAUUAGAUACCCGGGUAGUCCCAGCUGUAAACGAUGCGCGUUAGGUGUGUCUGUGACCACGUGUCACUGAUGUGCCGAAGGGAAACCGUGAAACGCGCCGCCUGGGGAGUACGGUCGCAAGGCUGAAACUUAAAGGAGUUGGCGGGGGGGCACCACAACGGGUGGAGCCUGCGGUUUAAUCGGACUCAACGCCGGAAAUCUCACCGGAUAA
rnacentral:rRNA from 1 species